rnacentral:rRNA from 1 species
AGCGAACGCUGGCGGCAGGCCUAACACAUGCAAGUCGAACGAAGUCUUCGGACUUAGUGGCGGACGGGUGAGUAACACGUGGGAACGUGCCUUUAGGUUCGGAAUAACUCAGGGAAACUUGUGCUAAUACCGAAUGUGCCCUUCGGGGGAAAGAUUUAUCGCCUUUAGAGCGGCCCGCGUCUGAUUAGCUAGUUGGUGGGGUAAUGGCCCACCAAGGCUACGAUCAGUAGCUGGUCUGAGAGGAUGACCAGCCACAUUGGGACUGAGACACGGCCCAAACUCCUACGGGAGGCAGCAGUGGGGAAUCUUGCGCAAUGGGCGAAAGCCUGACGCAGCCAUGCCGCGUGGAUGAUGAAGGUCUUAGGAUUGUAAAGCUCUUUCACCGAUGAAGAUAAUGACGGUAGUCGGAGAAGAAGCCCCGGCUAACUUCGUGCCAGCAGCCGCCGUAAAAC